AAAAAUAUAGGAGGAGAUCUAUGGUGAUCUAGUUGCAUUUGUUGAAACUUUUGUUGAGUAUGUCGAUGUUGAGCAGCCAUUGAAGAAGAUGAAGAAGAUGGAGAAUAGUUGUAGAGAGGGUUGUUUUAGGUUUCAAGGAAGAAAGUGUGAGAGUAUCGUGCGUGUAGUAUGAAAAUGUGAGUGAAGUGGGUUUAUAUAAUUUUUUUUGCAAUGAUGACAAAAUGGAAAUAUACAUUCAUAAGAGGAAGCGUAAGAGUUU
rnacentral:lncRNA from 1 species